CCCUGCUUUCGAAAGUGGCUAAGUGUUUUUCCAUCGCUUGGCCAUUACUACGGCAGGGAGAGAAACAGGAGGAUUUACCGUGUUUGUGGGACGUGAUUCAUUCUCACCAAACCUCGUGGCCUUCUUACA